CCAGUGAAACCCCAGGCUGCCAAAGCAGAGCGUGCCGACUUAGCCACUCGGCCACAGGGCUGGUCCUGAUAUGUUAUCAUUUUAAUGCAUGUCCUUCCAGUUUUUUUCUGUGUUUGUAUAUGUGUGUAUGUGUACACACACAUAUGCAUAUAUACACAGUAUACACACAUAUAUGUGUACAUUCUGUAUAAAUGUAUACAUAUAAUAUCUAGUUGGAUAUGUAUAAAACAGUGUUAUACAUAAUUUUUGUCACUUGCUUUUUUUUAACUUAAUGUAGUGCAAACAUUUCCUCAUGUCAAUAAAUAUUAUUUUACAAAAUUAUUUUUAAUGACCUUGCCAUGUUCCAUCAUAUGUAUGAACUGUAAUGUAAAUGUAUUGUUGAAUGGCAAAAGUAUUUUGGAUUUUUCUUUAUGGUAAAUAAUGCCAUGGUGAACAUAUUUGUAUAUAAAUCCUUGUGCACACUUUUGAUUGAACACAAGUUUUUAAAAAAGUAGUUCAUUCACUUAUUUAUCCUCUCAACAGAUAUUUAUUGAGUAAUUACUAUGUGGCAGGUAUUUCAAAGAAGUUAUCAUAAAGCCAUUGCUCCCCAGGAGUCCUAAUUGGGGGAGGCGGAGCUCUAGUCCACCUUAGGUUCUCUGGGAUAGGAGCUGGGGCGGUGAGUUCCGGGUUGAGCAUUCCAGGCUUGGUUGCUAAGCUGUGAUUGUUUCUCAACAAUUGGGUGGUGUUCCCAGGAGACACUUACUCUGUGUUAUCUGAACUUCUUCCUUGUAGUGCUCUUGCCUGUCUGGUGUGGCAGAGAAGGACAGAAACGGAAACUGGAACAGGUUCAGGCCUAGAGAGGAGGUACAGCCUCCCACAUUGGUGCCACAUGGGAACAUAUCCUGCACCUUCUGAGGAUGAUCCAUGAAGAGGAUGACAUGUUGGUGAUAUGUCAUGUGCUCCACGGAUUGGUCAUCAAUGCUCGGAAGCAUCUGGAUCUA